rnacentral:tRNA from 1 species
UCCCUGGUGGUCCAGUGGUUAAGACUCUAUGCUCCCAAUGCAGGGUGCUUGGGUUCGAUUCCUGGUUGGGGAA